AACGAACGCUGGCGGCGUGGAUAAGACAUGCAAGUCGAACGGGACAACAUCUGUAGCAAUACAGGUGUUGUUUAGUGGCGAACGGGUGCGUAACACGUGGGCAAUCUGCCGAGAAGUGGGGGAUAGCUCGCCGAAAGGCGAAUUAAUACCGCAUAUGAUCAGUGAAGACAUCUUCACGACAUCAAAGCCGGGGUAACCUGGCGCUUCUUGAUGACGCCCGCGGCCUAUCAGCUAGUUGGUGAGGUAACGGCUCACCAAGGCUAUGACGGGUAGCUGGUCUGAGAGGACGACCAGUCACACUGGAACUGAGACACGGUCCAGA
rnacentral:rRNA from 1 species